GCCCUCUCUCUCCCACCUUCGAAGAAUCGCCCGGAUUUCCCUCUGGAUCCGAGGGCCCGCGGCUGCAGCCCCGGGCAGAUCCUCUUCAUGGUCCCCUGAAGCCCAGAUGUGGCUGCGGCACUGAGAGGUCACUGCCCAUCUCUGGUCCUGGCUGGAAAAGGUGGCACCGGGCACCAGAGCGGCACGUGUGCCAGGUCCACGCUGUCCGUCUCCAGCCUUGACCCUUCCUCCAGAGGAGGAGAGGGAGAGCAAUGGGACACACAUGCCAUGGAAUCACAGCCAGCAGUUUCAGAAUACCUCCCGCAAGUCAGACUCCUCAUGGCUGUUACCUCUGGCACACACAACGCCCUGGCGUGCCUUGGAAUACGUUUUAAUGGGCGAAGAAACAGACUCAGAGAUUCAGCUACUUGCCCACGGCCACAGUGAGCACAGGCCCAGGCUCUCCCCACGCUCGCUUUGUGGCUCUGGGUAAGUUGUGGAGCCUCGCCAGCCUCAGUUGCCCUCUUUAAGAUGGGGGUAAUAAUACCCGCCUCCUGCCAAGGGUCGGGGUAAGGGUUGAGUACCGUGGUAUGGAACUGGUGCUCUGCCAGUUUUCAGUGAUUGUUACUUUCACCAUCCUCUGCUUCCUCCCGUGUCUACACUCUGAGACCUCCCUCCGUGUUAGGUGUGGCAAGCCUUUUGUAGGAGGGGGAAUUAUUUUUCAUGACUGCAAAGCCA